rnacentral:rRNA from 1 species
CACCGGCGGCUCGAGUGGUGGCCACUUUUAUUGGGUCUAAAGCGUCCGUAGCCGGCUUGGCAAGUCCCCUGGGAAAUCUUGCGGCUUAACCGUCAGGCGUCCAGAGGAUACUGCCAGGCUUGGGACCGGGAGAGGUGAGAGGUACCUCAGGGGUAGGGGUGAAAUCGUGUGAUCCCUGAGGGACCACCAGUGGCGAAGGCGUCUCACUAGAACGGGUCCGACGGUCAGGGACGAAAGCUGGGGGCACGAACCGG